rnacentral:rRNA from 1 species
CUUUGGGGCCUAAAUAUCCUAAAGACUCCAGAUUCCAUUAGAUCUUGGAAGAUAAGCAGUGUCAGCCCUGGUUGGUACAUGGAUGGGAGACUGCCAAUGGAUAUCAGGUGCUGUAGGCU